rnacentral:lncRNA from 1 species
GGUGUGUGCGUGAUUUUACUUGUUACAUUAUUUAUGUAUUGCAUUUAAAAAAAGUCUGCUCACAAAACUCAUUAUUUUCUUGACAGGGACUCGUCCAACCUAAGUCCAGUUCAUUCCCCAGCAUCAUAGUGCUGUGGGCGAUGAAGAUGCUGGAUUUGAUAGAACGGCUGCAAGCCCAUCUCCUCCAACACAUGCGGCGGCCACACCGACCCCGCCACCGCCUCCACCGCGGUCUCCACCUCCUCCACCGAGGUCUCCAACGCCUCCACCAUGUUCUUCAAUGCCAAAA